rnacentral:rRNA from 1 species
UUAUCGGAGAGUUUGAUCCUGGCUCAGGACGAACGCUGGCGGCGUGCCUAAUACAUGCAAGUCGAGCGGACAGAUGGGAGCUUGCUCCCUGAGGUUAGCGG